AGACCAAACUAAAACUGGACUUAUUGGAGGCUUUCUAAAAAUGAGAGUAAUCUCGGGGAGCAAAAUUAUAUGCUAAUAAAAACCACAAAACCCAAUUGUGGAUAUUGGUCUCCACUACAAUGAACUGUCUUCAAAGUUUUGUUUUUAAGGCUAUGUCUGCACGCCACACAGAACUCAGACCUGAUGACAUCACCAGAGAUGUUCCAACUACAGAUAAUCCAUCAGGUUGUCAUUGCUUGAUGCCAUUCCAACGAGAGCCUUACAUCUGGAAGUCUUCUCAAAUGUACGAUGGACAGAAGGGCUUCAGACAGGUGUGACACACCGGCCUCCAGGGGAGCGGCUCCUCCAAAAUCACCCGGAACACUUUUAUUACUUCUAGAGUACAACAAGAAUGCCAGCUUGUCUAACGCGUCAUCCUCUGGACAUUGCUUAUGUCACCUGCCGGGGACACCAGGCUGACCCGGACUUUGCGGAAUCCCUCUUCCCUGCAUGAAGACCCCCCUUCCCGUUUGCUCCUCCUUCCUCAGUCAGACAGGAAGAACCUCUGAGCCUUGGGAUAGGCAGGACUAUGCCCCUUGACAGCAGAAAGCAAUUACAAGAAGAUGGAGAUAUUCACCCAUUUAUCUCCUUGUAAGAUUACAAGGCUUAAGUUCUUGAAGGGAGAGAGUAAUACCACUGUGGUCAGCUAGUUAUUAGUAAUAGGACAGAAGCAAAGGGGAGGUCAGACAUUAUAGGCUUGUCAUUUGCGCAGUUUCACCAGGAAGCUGCAACUUUGCACUCCCCAGGGAGCCACUGGCCUAUUCCCUGCAUAACACUGGGGAAAGGGAUCCAACGAAGGGAAGACAGAUGCAUGUCCAGUAAAGUUGGGGUGACCUAGGAAAGAUACUUGUGUGUCAGUCACUCCGGGGGACAGAUCAUUGGCCAAAAUGAGCGUGGCCACUGCAAGCAUGCAAAUAUUUGGGAAUACACAAUCUUCUAAACA